rnacentral:rRNA from 1 species
AUGGCUUUCCCUCCAGAGUGGAUCCUGAGUACGGCGGAACACGUGAAAUUCCGUCGGAAUCCGGGAGGACCAUCUCCCAAGGCUAAAUACUCCCUAGUGACCGAUAGUGAACCAGUACCGUGAGGGAAAGGUGAAAAGCACCCCGGAAGGGGAGUGAAACAGUUCCUGAAACCGUGUGCCUACAAGUAGUUAGAGCCCGUUAAUGGGUGAUAGCGUGCCUUUUGUAGAAUGAACCGGCGAGUUACGAUUUGUUGCAAGGUUAAGCGGAAAAAGCGGAGCCGUAGCGAAAGCGAGUCUGAAUAGGGCGCAUAAGUAACAGGUCGUAGACCCGAAACCAGGUGAUCUACCCAUGUCCAGGAUGAAGGUAAGGUA